UACGAAGGGGGCUAGCGUUGUUCGGAAUUACUGGGCGUAAAGCGCGUGUAGGCGGGUCCUUAAGUCAGGGGUGAAAUGCCGAGGCUCAACCUCGGAACUGCCUUUGAUACUGGGGAUCUUGAGUCCGGGAGAGGUGAGUGGAACUGCGAGUGUAGAGGUGAAAUUCGUAGAUAUUCGCAAGAACACCAGUGGCGAAGGCGGCUCACUGGCCCGGUACUGACGCUGAGGUGCGAAAGCGUGGGGAGCAAACAGG
rnacentral:rRNA from 1 species